rnacentral:rRNA from 1 species
UGUAAAAUUUUAAGGGUCGAACAGACCCAAUAUUUUAGCUUCUACACCAAAAAUUUAUUUUAAUCCAACAUCGAGGUCGCAAUCUUUCUUUUUAAUAUGAACUUUCUAAGAAAAUUACGCUGUUAUCCCUAAGGUAAUUUUAUCUUAUAAUCAAAAUUAUUGGAUCAUAAAUUCAUAAAUUAAUGACUUUAAAUAAAAAAAGUUAAUCAAAUUUUUCAAUCACCCCAACUAAAUUAAUAAAUAAAAAUAAUAAAUUAAUACUUAAACAAUAUUUUUAUUUAAUAAUAAAACUCUAUAGGGUCUUCUCGUCUUUUAAAUAUACUUAAGCUUUUUAACUUAAAAAUAAAAUUCUAAUAAAAUUUAAUAGAGACAGCUAUUUUCUUAUUCAACCUUUCAUUCCAGUUUUCAAUUAAAAAACUAAUGAUUAUGCUACCUUAGCACGGUCAAAAUACCACGGCCAUUUAAAAAUUCAGUGGGCAGGUUAGACCUUAAAUUAUAAACAAAAGGAC